CUUAUCGUGACGUGGUUUCUAGUGCAUAUCACAAAUACUAUGAAAGUAGUUGUGUUGUUAUCAGAGAGUGUAGCAGAGUAUGACCAUUAGCAGCACUUUCAAUGCCAGUGUCAUAUAGGGUGUAGUGGUCAUCGUGCCAGUAUAGGCUAAGACUUCUGAGGUACGGUUGUCACAUUUGCUUGUCUCUUCACGACUAGAAAAAGAAAUUCACGAAGUUCAAAAUGCUAGUUAUUUAAGCUGCAACACGGCACCACGACGACCUUCUGGCACAUUUAACCGUUCGAUGAAGCUUUCUCCCUGUACUUUAAGCUGGAACAGACACAGCAUAAUAGCAACGACGGUCAACCACGGUGACAGCUUCAUUUCGCAUCACUUACUGAGGUAUUUAUUCAACCGUACGAUCAAGCAGCGAAUUCUCUCCGAACCGGCGUAAACGGAUAAGCGGUUUAUCAGUUUGUCGCAGUAACGAUAAGAAGUGGAUGGACGCAACAAAUGAGAUAAGAAUGCGUUUAUUGAUUUAUGUUACUUCAACCCCUUUACAGUGGUGUGUAUAUUUUCUGACCACACGGUGCGGCGAAUAAUACCAAAAUAAUACACGGUGCGGCGAAUAAUUGUUUUGCUUGCGAUUUGAAUGAUUUUA